UGAUGGCGUCAUGCACAGUUCUGGGAGAUGUUAUCACGUGCUAUCUCAUUCGGUGAUAUCGUCACCCAGCACCGCACAUGCCCAUCA
rfam:Ornithorhynchus anatinus chromosome X1, whole genome shotgun sequence.